UGGUGAUGCAGUUUCGAUGAAGACGUAGAAGGAGACAACCCAGCUUGGACGCUGUCAGUCUCUAUCAGUCCGUCAAGCAGGAAGGUCGCCUCUAUCUGAAGAACACCUAGAACCACCAGAAAUGAGACACGACGUGAGUGAUUUGUUCGGAGUCUUAAUCGCAUCAAUUGAUUAUGCGUUCAAGAAUGGAUAUACGUACGAUAAGUUUGAGGAUCGUUGCGACUAUGAUACGCUCUACCAAGUACUUGGUCGCCCCAGCAAUAAUUGCGGACGACCACUUGCCGCAGCCCCCAAUCCCCAUGCCGCAGCCAGCUCGGAAGAGCGUUGACUGCAAUGCGCCCUCUGGCCACUCGGGCAGCCCCGCGACCAGCUCCUCCCCUCCCGCAACCAAGCACAUCGAGAGCCGCCGUGGAAAACGCUGCCCCAAUCCGUCGUAGCGGACGGAUAAGAAAAAGUAAGCAGCCUGGCUACGAACCGAUCCCGACAAAAAGCAGAGGCAGUGGGGGUCGCGGCCGUGCGGCCUUGCUGCCCAAAGGCCCCAAACUCUCCCUCCCCGCCCCAACACAGAUGGAAGUGGUGCCGGCUGAACGUGAACUGAAGGCUCCUGUGGGUAAGCGUAAACUCACAAAGGGGAAGGAGGCGAAUAAAGUUGCCGAAAAGAAACGACGAGAUGACCAAACAAUAAAUUACGAGAAACUUUUGAAAUUAUUUAAUGUGAUGGUGCUAAAAACGGCCUCGCUGCCCAAAGACCAUGAACUCUACCUUCCCGUCCCGACACCGAAGCAAGCCAGCUCGGCUCAACGUGAAAAGAAGGCGCGAAAGCCUAAAAUGUCCGCGAAGGAGAGGAAUGAGCGCAAUAAAAUUGGCGAAAAGAAGCGACGGACUAUAAUACAAAAGGGUAUAAGGCCUUGCAGAAGCUUAAUGGAAUGACAGGGAAGAUAAUCUAGGUCCCACUUCUUAAACGUGCUAUAAAUAACUUCGAAAACAUUAUUCAUACCUUCGAUUUGCACAACAAGUGGACAAAUGAAAAACGUGCAAUUUUUAACAGAUUGAAAGCCUGGAAAAUGCUCAUCCCUUAGGAUUCAGUUGAAGCCUAAAUUGACCUAUGAAGCACUGUAAUUUUGUGAGAAAAUUAGCUGGAAAGUUACCGUGCUUUUCAAAUAAUAAUGUCUAUCUCCUUACUUGAAAUCCAAUUUUAUUUCAAAACCAAGAGUUUCCCCAAUAAGUGGCAUACACCGUUGGACAGAUCUCGACGAGAGGAAUCGGAAUAUGCCAAAAAAAUAUGUUCAACCACUGUAAAUUUGGAGAAAAUUGGCAAAAUUUGAAUUUUUACCAUAAAAAGGCCCUUUUUUACGAUUGCAAAUUGUUGAAAAAAUUGUUUAUCGGUCCAGAAGAUCAUAUUUUAUAUAUUGUAAAAAGUGGUAUACGUUUAGCAA